rnacentral:tRNA from 1 species
AAGAGAGCAGCAAGAACUGCUAACUCAUGCGCCCGGAAAUGACCCCCCGGCUCUCUU